UCGGGAAUUUUGGGCAAUGGGGGAAACCCUGACCCAGCAACGCCGCGUGAAGGAUGAAGUAUUUCGGUAUGUAAACUUCGAAAGAAUAGGAAGAAUAAAUGACGGUACUAUUUAUAAGCUCCGGCUAACUACGUGCCAGCAGCCGCGGUAAUACGUAGGGAGCAAGCGUUGUUCGGAUUUACUGGGCGUAAAGGGCGCGUAGGCGGCGCGGUAAGUCACUUGUGAAAUCUCUGAGCUUAACUCAGAACGGCCAAGUGAUACUGCAGUGCUAGAGUGCAGAAGGGGCAAUCGGAAUUCUUGGUGUAGCGGUGAAAUGCGUAGAUAUCAAGAGGAACACCUGAGGCGAAGGCGGGUUGCUGGGCUGAUACUGACGCUGAAGCGCGAAAGCUAGGGUAGCAAACGGGAUUAGAUACCCUGGUAGUCCCUGAGCGGGCUGGCAAGGCGCAU
rnacentral:rRNA from 1 species